rnacentral:rRNA from 1 species
AUUGAACGCUGGCGGCAGGCCUAACACAUGCAAGUCGAGCGGAUGACGGGAGCUUGCUCCUUGAUUCAGCGGCGGACGGGUGAGUAAUGCCUAGGAAUCUGCCUGGUAGUGGGGGGCAACGUUUCGAAAGGAACGCUAAUACCGCAUACGUCCUACGGGAGAAAGCAGGGGACCUUCGGGCCUUGCGCUAUCAGAUGAGCCUAGGUCGGAUUAGCUUGUUGGUGAGGUAAUGGCUCACCAAGGCGACGAUCCGUAACUGGUCUGAGAGGAUGAUCAGUCACACUGGAACUGAGACACGGUCCAGACUCCUACGGGAGGCAGCAGGGGAAUAUUGGACAAUGGGCGAAAGCCUGAUCCAGCCAUGCCGCGUGUGUGAAGAAGGUCUUCGGAUUGUAAAGCACUUUAAGUUGGGAGGAAGGGUUGUAGAUUAAUACUCUGCAAUUUUGACGUUACCGACAGAAUAAGCACCGGCUAACUCUGUGCCAGCAGCCGCCGUAA